UCUAAACUUUUUCAUUCUAUCUUCGACAGAGCGCAAGCUUUACGAAAGUUACAAUUGAAAAUAUAAUGUGAAAACAUAGUCUGUGGUAUCCUUAAUAAGCUCGGGUUUCCAAAUUCCUUCUGAUAAUUCUAAUAAUUAUUUUACAUUAUAUUCAAUAUAUUUUCUUCGAGCAAAAUUCAUCAUAAAUUUUGAACAUUGUACUUGAUUUUCGCAUUGCGAAAGAGAUGGCAACAGUGAGAAAGCCUUCCCGAGUUGUAAAAAUAAUAUAAGCGACUCUGUUUUUAUUGUUUGUAAGCUAUCUGAAUAUAGAAAUAAUAAGCUGAAAGCAUAGAAUCAAAGUAAAUCCUCGACAGUCUCAGUUCAUACUAAAGAACAAUUGGGGAAUCUGAAAGAGAAGAAAAAAUGAGUCUUGUCAUGUCCAAGUUUGGAUUGGAUUCAAAGGAAAACUGUCCAUCUUAGCUGACAUUCCUUACUACAUUAUAACAAUUGUUUAUCCAUGGUUGAAGCACAUUAUACUAUACUUUACCUAAUCUUACAAUAUAUCAGCUGUUUUUCAAUACACAUUGAAUAAAAUGCCAAUUUGUAGUUGGUCAGCACCAAUAAGAAGAGGACAGUGUUGGUCAUGACUGUGUCUGAGCUGAAAUUGCAGAUGAUAUGCAAGUCUUUCUCUUUAUUUUCAUUUUCUGAAUUAAAAUAGCUGCUUUGAUGUAAUGUCCUCCUUCCCUUAAUCUAUUGAGCCAGAUUCCAAGAAUUAAGUUUAUUACUGUAGACGAAGUAUGAAAAACUAAGCAUUAUUCUUAUUCUUUAGUUUUUUGUGAUGACCAUAAA